rnacentral:ncRNA from 2 species
CACGCGCUCCGGGGCUCGGUGAAAUCCCGAACCGGCGGUGAGAGCCCGCGAACCGCCGCCAGGCGGCCGACCCGGUGGGAUUCCGGGGCCGACGGUCACAGUCCGGAUGAGAGGUGCGCAGC